rnacentral:lncRNA from 10 species
AUGGAAACCUUGAUUUCAAUUGCAACACAUUCUUGGGAUUCAUGGAAGGAAUAUGCACAUAGGAGUGCCAGGAACCUGCUAGACAUCGCCUGUGCUUUGCCCUGUAUUUGGAAGCCCAUUGGGAAAUUUGAAAAGGUCUGAGAAGAAUCAUCCCGUCUGUUAAGUGAUAAUUUGAGAAGAAAGAAACAUCGUCCUUGAAGUGCAGAGAGUUGCUUCUCUCUUGACACCUUAGAGGCAAGUCCAGGGAGCAGAAUUAAGUGACAGUAAAAGGAAAAGAUCACAUGUAUCACAGGAAUGAGAAAUCCUUAUGGCUAAGUCAGCUUUCCACAGUUAGGCUACACUUUGAUGUUGGCAAAAGUUUCCCUAGUGGGAGAGACAUAGGGAAAAGGGCAGAGGAAUAAAGAGACAGCUUCACUUACCCAGUCUAAGUAAAGAGGUGAACAGUUCAUCCAUCUAAUAUUUAAUAUGGGCUUCUCUUGUGAAGAGCUGGAAAUGCAUUUAUUAAAGUCUGCAUAAGCAGUUGAGUUAUAACCUCCAAAAUAAACUGGAAGAAAUAAAGGAAAAGAAACUGACUUACUGAAAAGUUUAUAAGCCCUCACAGAGAGCCAAGCUGCAAACAAGAAUCCAUGCAGAGCUGAAGGGAUGUCUCCGGGGGAUUAGUUGCAGAAUUGUUUUCUCUAGUGGAUGCUGUAGUGUAUGGACCGAUUCCUCCAUUGAUGGCCAAACUACUCAUUCCCCCACCUGCUGAGAAUCAGAGUGUGGACGGCUGAUGACUCAUGACUGAGUUCCUUACCAGGAAUUAACCUUGACUGGGCCCAAGUGUAUGCUCCCUGUCUGGGUUCAAAUUAAAAUCCAAAACGUAGUCUAUGUGGGAGUACAGAUACCCAGUCAUCAUGUCUCAGUUUGGGGCAGCUCUGAUGGGUCCUCCCAGUUCUAGAACCAGCUGUAGU